rnacentral:rRNA from 1 species
UGGCUCAGGAUGAACGCUAGCGGCAGGCUUAACACAUGCAAGUCGAGGGGCAGCGGGGAGGAAGCUUGCUUUCUCCGCCGGCGACCGGCGCACGGGUGAGUAACACGUAUGCAACUUGCCCCUGUCAGGGGGACAACCCGCCGAAAGGCGGGCUAAACCCGCGUACAUGCCACCGGGGCAUCCCGGAGGCAGGAAAGGCUUCGGCCGGACAGGGAUGGGCAUGCGGCGCAUUAGGCAGUAGGCGGGGUAACGGCCCACCUAACCGACGAUGCGUAGGGGUUCUGAGAGGAAGGUCCCCCACACUGGUACUGAGACACGGACCAGACUCCUACGGGAGGCAGCAGUGAGGAAUAUUGGUCAAUGGUCGGGAGACUGAACCAGCCAAGCCGCGUGAGGGAUGAAGGUACAGAGUAUCGUAAACCUCUUUUGUCAGGGAACAAAGGCGGGGACGUGUCCCCGGAUGAGUGUACCUGAAGAAAAAGCAUCGGCUAACUCCGUGCCAGCAGCCGCGGUAAUACGGAGGAUGCGAGCGUUAUCCGGAUUUAUUGGGUUUAAAGGGUGCGCAGGCGGUCUGUUAAGUCAGCGGUCAAAGCCCGGGGCUCAACCCCGGCCCGCCGUUGAAACUGGCAGUCUCGAGUUGGAGAGAAGUAUGCGGAAUGCGCGGUGUAGCGGUGAAAUGCAUAGAUAUCGCGCAGAACUCCGAUUGCGAAGGCAGCAUGCCGGCUCCACACUGACGCUGAGGCACGAAAGCGUGGGUAUCGAACAGGAUUAGAUACCCUGGUAGUCCACGCAGUAAACGAUGAAUGCUGGCUGUCCGGGGGGGAUUGACCCCUGGGUGGCGAAGCGAAAGCGAUAAGCAUUCCACCUGGGGAGUAGGCCGGCAACGGUGAAACUCAAAGGAAUUGACGGGGGCCCGCACAAGCGGAGGAACAUGUGGUUUAAUUCGAUGAUACGCGAGGAACCUUACCCGGGCUCAAACGGGGAGUGACUCAGGCAGAGACGCCUGUUUCCCACGGGACACUCCCCGAGGUGCUGCAUGGUUGUCGUCAGCUCGUGCCGUGAGGUGUCGGCUUAAGUGCCAUAACGAGCGCAACCCCCGCGUGCAGUUGCUAACAGAUAACGCUGAGGACUCUGCACGGACUGCCGGCGCAAGCCGCGAGGAGGGCGGGGAUGACGUCAAAUCAGCACGGCCCUUACGUCCGGGGCGACACACGUGUUACAAUGGGUGGUACAGCGGGAAGCCAGGCGGCGACGCCGAGCGGAACCCGAAAUCCACUCUCAGUUCGGAUCGGAGUCUGCAACCCGACUCCGUGAAGCUGGAUUCGCUAGUAAUCGCGCAUCAGCCAUGGCGCGGUGAAUACGUUCCCGGGCCUUGUACACACCGCCCGUCAAGCCAUGGGAGCCGAGGGCGCUUGAAGUGCGUCGCCGCGAGGCGCGCCCUAGAGCGAAAUCGGUGACUGGGGCUAAGUCGUAACAAGGUA